rnacentral:rRNA from 1 species
GAUCCUGGCUCGGGAUGAACGCUAGCGACAGGCUUAACACAUGCAAGUCGAGGGGCAGCAUGAUUUGUAGCAAUACAGAUUGAUGGCGACCGGCGCACGGGUGAGUAACGCGUAUGCAACUUACCUAUCAGAGGGGGAUAGCCCGGCGAAAGUCGGAUUAAUACCCCAUAAAACAGGGUCCCGCAUGGGAAUAUUUGUUAAAGAUUCAUCGCUGAUAGAUAGGCAUGCGUCCCA